rnacentral:sRNA from 1 species
GGGAGGCAGAAUUUUGACAUUCACUCGUACCUCAAGGCCUCGAUAGGCUCUAAGCGAGAUGCCUUCCACGCAGGGUAGAGGCCGCUUAGCACAGAAACCAUAACU